rnacentral:rRNA from 1 species
GCAGUCGACGCUGAAGCCUGGUGCUUGCACCGGGUGGAUGAGUGGCGAACGGGUGAGUAACACGUGAGUAACCUGCCCCUGACUUCGGGAUAAGCCCGGGAAACUGGGUCUAAUACCGGAUACGACUGCCGGACGCAUGUCUGGUGGUGGAAAGUUUUUUCGGUUGGGGAUGGGCUCGCGGCCUAUCAGUUUGUUGGUGAGGUAAUGGCUCACCAAGACGACGACGGGUAGCCGGCCUGAGAGGGCGACCGGCCACACUGGGACUGAGACACGGCCCAGACUCCUACGGGAGGCAGCAGUGGGGAAUAUUGCACAAUGGGGGAAACCCUGAUGCAGCGACGCAGCGUGCGGGAUGACGGCCUUCGGGUUGUAAACCGCUUUCAGCAGGGAAGAAGCGCAAGUGACGGUACCUGCAGAAGAAGUACCGGCUAACUACGUGCCAGCAGCCGCGGUAAUACGUAGGGUACGAGCGUUGUCCGGAAUUAUUGGGCGUAAAGAGCUCGUAGGUGGUUGGUCACGUCUGCUGUGGAAACGCAACGCUUAACGUUGCGCGUGCAGUGGGUACGGGCUGACUAGAGUGCAGUAGGGGAGUCUGGAAUUCCUGGUGUAGCGGUGAAAUGCGCAGAUAUCAGGAGGAACACCGGUGGCGAAGGCGGGACUCUGGGCUGUAACUGACACUGAGGAGCGAAAGCAUGGGGAGCGAACAGGAUUAGAUACCCUGGUAGUCCAUGCCGUAAACGUUGGGCACUAGGUGUGGGGGGCAUUCCACGUUCUCCGCGCCGUAGCUAACGCAUUAAGUGCCCCGCCUGGGGAGUACGGUCGCAAGGCUAAAACUCAAAGGAAUUGACGGGGGCCCGCACAAGCGGCGGAGCAUGCGGAUUAAUUCGAUGCAACGCGAAGAACCUUACCAAGGCUUGACAUACACCCGGACCGUCCUGGAAACAGGUCCUCUUCUUUGAAGCUGGUGUACAGGUGGUUGCAUGGUUGUCGUCAGCUCGUGUCGUGAGAUGUUUGGGGUUAAGUCCCGCAACGAGCGCAAC